UCUUCAAAAGUUUCACUGACGUGAACCUCACUUGUGGGUGCCAGGUUAUGACCACAUGCAUAGUUUCAUCUUCAUCUUAUGCAACAUUUGGGGUAAAAGGAAGGUUAUGUGGUAACCAGUUUAUGACUUGAACUAUAGGCAAAGAUUGACCAGGCCAAGCCCUGAGACACAGUGUUGAGAGCCAAGACAUAAAGUCGUGAAGAUUCAGGCCCAGAGCCCAGCAGGGCACAGGCUGGAGGGGUGAUGUGAUGUGAGUGAUCAGUAACACCAUGAAGACUCUGCUUCUGGGUCAGAAAUGCUUUUUUGUCCCUGUUUUGGAUUUUCCACCAUGAGCAGUUCGCAGGGAAUUGGAAAUCCUUGUCCUCGUGGUUCCUGGCUCAGCAGGACCCCUGUGGGGCCUCUCCCUCUCCUGGGAAAGAGACUGCUCUAGAAGGUUUACUACACCAGUGAGGAGAAGAUGAGCGUAUGGGGGAUUGGCUGGCUGAGGGCGAAAUCAAGGCUGGAGCCAAGUGCGCUGAGCUCUCACGUGAGGUCCUUUGCUCCUGUUCCCUGGAGGC
rnacentral:lncRNA from 1 species